rnacentral:rRNA from 1 species
AGGGGCAGCGGGAAAAAGCUUGCUUUUUUGCCGGCGACCGGCGCACGGGUGCGGAACGCGUAUGGAACCUGCCCCUGUCAGGGGAAUAGCCCAGGGAAACUUGGAUUAAUGCCCCAUGGUACCGUUACAUCGCAUGAUGUUUCGGUUAAAGAUUUAUCGGANNNGGGNUGGCCNNGCGUACCAUUAGUUAGUUGGCGGGGUAACGGCCCACCAAGGCAGCGAUGGUUAGGGGCCCUGAGAGGGGGAUCCCCCACACUGGUACUGAGACACGGACCAGACUCCUACGGGAGGCAGCAGUGAGGAAUAUUGGACAAUGGGCGGGAGCCUGAUCCAGCCAUGCCGCGUGCAGGAUGACUGCCCUAUGGGUUGUAAACUGCUUUUAUACGGGAAGAAACGCACCUACGUGUAGGUGUCUGACGGUACCGUAAGAAUAAGGACCGGCUAACUCCGUGCCAGCAGCCGCGGUAAUACGGAGGGUCCGAGCGUUAUCCGGAAUCAUUGGGUUUAAAGGGUCCGUAGGCGGGCCUGUAAGUCAGGGGUGAAAAGUUUGUGGCUCAACCAUAAAAUUGCCUUUGAUACUGCAGGUCUUGAGUCAUGGGUGGGGUUGCCGGAACAUGUGGUNNNANCGGUGAAAUGCAUAGAUAUCACAUAGAACACCGAUCGCGAAGGCAGGUGACCAACCAUGUACUGACGCUGAUGGACGAAAGCGUGGGUAGCGAACGGGAUUAGAUACCCCGGUAGUCCACGCCGUAAACGAUGGAUAC